CUGUGUUGCUUCUCAGAAAACCUCAAAGAUACCUGAUGCUAAGGGUCUUGUAGCAGUUACAGUCUGAGCUUGGGAGUUGGACAAAAGGAGUUAUUCUUGUCCUGUUUGUGAAAAGUCUUUUUCAGAGGAUCGAUUGAUAAAGUCACAUAUCAAGACCAACCAUCCUGAGGUCUCCAUGAGCACCAUUUCUGAGGUUCUCGGGAGGAGGGUUCAGCUGAAAGGGCUAAUUGGAAAGAGAGCCAUGAAAUGCCCAUAUUGUGACUUUUAUUUCAUGAAGAAUGGCUCAGACCUUCAGCGUCAUAUUUGGGCUCAUGAAGGUGUGAAGCCCUUCAAGUGUUCUUUGUGUGAGUAUGCAACUCGUAGCAAGAGUAACCUCAAGGCUCAUAUGAAUCGUCACAGCACUGAGAAAACCCACCUAUGUGACAUGUGUGGCAAGAAAUUCAAAUCAAAAGGGACACUGAAAAGUCACAAACUCCUUCACACUGCAGAUGGGAAGCAGUUUAAGUGCACGGUGUGUGACUACACAGCGGCCCAGAAGCCACAGCUGCUGCGGCACAUGGAACAGCAUGUCUCCUUCAAGCCUUUCCGCUGUGCCCAUUGCCAUUACUCCUGCAACAUAUCUGGCUCUCUGAAGCGGCACUACAACAGGAAGCACCCUAAUGAGGAGUAUGCCAACGUGGGCACCGGGGAGCUGGCGGCGGAGGUGCUCAUCCAGCAAGGUGGUUUGAAGUGUCCUGUUUGCAGCUUUGUAUAUGGCACCAAAUGGGAGUUCAAUAGGCACUUGAAGAACAAACAUGGCUUGAAGGUGGUGGAAAUUGAUGGAGACCCCAAGUGGGAGACAGCAACAGAAGCUCCUGAGGAGCCCU
rnacentral:sRNA from 1 species